AUGUGCACAUGCAUAAAUUUCAUUGGACUCGUAUCAGCUAAAUUCAGUAUUCUCCAGAGGCCAACAGUUAAACCUGGACUUGAUGGCGGUUGUGGCAGCUAUACUGUGCAUGUCAGUCAUACUUGUGGCAGCUCGAGCCCAAAGGCAGCCAAGAAGAAACCAUCCAUGUAUGGAACGAACGUCUACAAACAAAAAUGAAGCGGCUUAAUUCAUUCAUCGUCAAUGUUACAUCUGGAUAAUGGAAGACUGGCACUCAUACAUCCAUGUGACAAAUAAACGUGAUGUUAGCUCAGCUGGUUAAAAAUUUAAAGAAUGAGAGGCAUGGCAAAUAGUUCAACUCAGUUGGUGACCCGAAGGGAUAGAUCUAAAAGACAAUGCAAUAUGUAUCUACUAUAUCAUCGAAGUUGGGUUUCAACUGAAGAUGAAGUCCUUUGUUACCUGGCUCUAAAGUCUAGCUAUGAAAACUGGACCAAUGUAACCAAAGGCAAUAUGGCUGAAAUAUAUAAUGUGUAACAGCAUAGAAGUAGGGGAUGAUAAUCCACACCAAACGGAGGAGACGUGAGAGCUGUAUGAAAAGUGCUAGUUGUAAAGAAAACCACAAUUAGUUCCUGAUAAGAAAGCUACAGUAAAGUACGAACUUUGAAAAAAUAUCCAUCAAAAAUAUAUAAAAGAACAUUAGUGAGUUGAUGCCUUGCGGGUAUUGUUGUAGGUAAAACCGUUGUCGUCCAAAUAUGCUAAGCUUGUAUGAAUAAGCAUAGCAGAGAAAUGAGACCAGAUUCCUUUAUAACUAUUCAAUAUCAGAAAUAGAGCGGACAUUAGCUGAAAUAUUUUUCUAUCAAUUCAAGAUACUGAUAAAAGAAAUGUCAAGAACAUGCUUUAACAGAUCUUUUUACUGUCGGCCAGCAGGCAGAAUUUUUCAGGCUUGUCACUUUGGCAAGAUAUAUAGCGAGCUCCUCAAAAUAACAGCUAUCCAAGUCUCAAAAGGUUGAUGGGUUGAUUAGUUAAAUCCACAUCAAGGCAUGCACAAAUAUCUGGGGUAGUACAGAAGCACUGAACAGGACAAACAAUAGUCCACGCGCUGAAAAUAAUAGAUUAUUAUACAAUGAGAUGAACAAACUAUACUCCCAUGCUCUGAAAACAUAUAUAGUGAGAUAGUAAUUUACUGUUCUAUUUUUCGGAAGACUGAUAUAAGAUGUAAUAGAGAUGAACUGAUAUAUAAAGUUGUAGCUGCAGGUGAGACAAAAGUGUGUACCUACAUCCUGAGGAAGAGGCAAAGGUGUCUCAAAUAUUGGGAGUCCGGCCGUGGUCCGCCAAUGCGCCGUUCCACUUUAUCCGAACAGACCGGCCAGUUAAGCUCCGACUACUUCGUCCAGCUCGCUGCCGCUGAAGAGGGCUUCUUCUACCUCACAAGUUCUGGAGUUUAGAUUCAUCUGUUGCAAGUCGAUUUGUGGUAACCAAUCUACUGUUGGGUGAUUAUCACCAAAUGAAUCAGCAUAGACACCCAUCGCUAGACUAACCGAAAGGAAAUAAGAUGCAGAAAUCGAAAAUCCAAAUCUGACUCCACAGAUUUGGAGCCCGAGCUUCUCCCACACAUUCAACCCAAUCGAUGGAGAGAAGAUGGCGGCAUGGCUAGCCACUUCUCCAGGCAGGGCACGGCGACGCGCUUAGGAUCCGCUCCGCAACGGUAGAUCGUCGGCAUCCAUGUGCCCCGCGGCAAGGCACACAGAGGCGGUAGAAGGAGGAGAGGGUGAAGGCGCGUUGCGCCGCGAGGCAGACGUCGGUGUCAGCAGAUAAGGUCGCUGGGAGACGAAGAUGGAGGGAUAUAGAGAGAGAGAGUGGAGAUGCGCCUGGUGCGUGGUGGUGGAUUUUUAUGGUUCAUGAUGAGGAGUAAAACCAUGGUGCAUGGAAGAGGAAUGCUAGACUCGUUCUUCAAUUAGGCUGGUUGUAAUGGGGAGUAUUAUAUACUAGUAUCAUGCAUAUGAUAUUAGCGUGUGAUACUAUCUCUGUAAUGCAUAGUAUCAUAAGU
rnacentral:lncRNA from 1 species